rnacentral:rRNA from 1 species
GACGAACGCUGGCGGCGUGCCUAAUACAUGCAAGUAGAACGCUGAAGAGAGGAGCUUGCUCUUCUUGGAUGAGUUGCGAACGGGUGAGUAACGCGUAGGUAACCUGCCUUGUAGCGGGGGAUAACUAUUGGAAACGAUAGCUAAUACCGCAUAACAAUGGAUGACACAUGUCAUUUAUUUGAAAGGGGCAAUUGCUCCACUACAAGAUGGACCUGCGUUGUAUUAGCUAGUAGGUGAGGUAAUGGCUCACCUAGGCGACGAUACAUAGCCGACCUGAGAGGGUGAUCCGCCACACUGGGACCGGGGCACGGCCCAGACGCCUACGGGAGGGAGCAGGUGGGAAUCCUCGGGAAAUGGGGCAACCCUGACCGAGCAACGCCGCGUGAGUGAAGAAGGGUUUCGGAUCGUAAAGCUCUGUUGUAAGUCAAGAACGGGUGUGAGAGUGGAAAGUUCACACUGUGACGGUAGCUUACCAGAAAGGGACGGCUAACUACGUG